GGAUGUGAAGAAGAACCGGCUCUGACAACUGCCACCUCAUUGCUUGCCAGGGCUGAUCUGGCUGGUUAGGCAGGUGUCCUCAUCCUCCUUCAAUGCCCCAAGUGUAUCUGCCUGAAGCUGAGUAUGUGUUUAGAGAGGAUGACCUUCCGCAACAGAGGAUGGUUCUUUGACCAAGAGUAUAUGAAUAGCUAAGCUUCACUGCUAGAUCCUCCAAAGACACUCUUAAGGAUAUUUGCCACAUUGAAUUUGAUAAACAGUCUAUCAAUUUAUUUUAAAAUUUUUCUAUGUACAAUAUAUUUUAAUUAUAUUU
rfam:Cricetulus griseus cell line CHO-K1, whole genome shotgun sequence.